rnacentral:lncRNA from 1 species
UUGGUAGAUAGGUGAUAAUCAAAUGUCCGAGAGUGCUGUAUUUAGUAAACCCAUUUCGUUCCUCUCCACAGUUUAAUUAUAUGGGCACAGCAGGGACGGAGAUGAAAUGAAUAAGCCUCACAAGUUAAUAGCAGUAUUAUGAAGGAACACUCAUCUGCUCAGCAUCAAAAACAGAGUCCAGAGACCAGUUCCCUGAUCACAAACAAGUUAGAACUGUUUCGUCAGCUUCCUUGGAUGACUUUGGAAAUCCCUGAAUUCUUGUGUGUCCUCAGAGAUGUGGACUUUGAAGACAGCCUCUGCUCCCUUUCCCUGUUGAUCAAAGACCCAUGGAGCACUACAUUCCAAACAGGGAUGUGGUGAUCCCAAGAAUUCAAACUACAGAAGCCUUCAUCUUUGCUGGGUAAAGAAUUUUCAGGUGUGGCCUGUUGGGGAAACACAUCCAUACCAUGGAAGAAAUUUUAGCAGCACAGCCUCCUCCUCAACAUGAACAAAUCAGUGAGACCCUCUUGCCUGUGACUGAUCGCCAGAGGAGUGAGGAGGAUCACAUCUGUGCUGCCGAGAAGAUCGCACAUCUGAGGGACUUCAAAAUUCUUCCAUGGAUAGAAACCUGUGUCUCUCUACAUACUUUAGAUGUGAGAAGAACAGCUAUGUCUUGGGUGACCAAGAGGCUGGAAUGAGUUCUGAUUCGCUUUGCAUUCCUGGUGCCUGGCAUAGGGCAGACACCUGCAGACCCUG